rnacentral:rRNA from 1 species
UGGGGAAUAUUGGACAAUGGGCGCAAGCCUGAUCCAGCCAUGCCGCGUGAGUGAUGAAGGCCCUAGGGUUGUAAAGCUCUUUCACCGGUGAAGAUAAUGACAGUAACCGGAGAAGAAGCCCCGGCUAACUUCGUGCCAGCAGCCGCGGUAAUACGAAGGGGGCUAGCGUUGUUCGGAUUUACUGGGCGUAAAGCGCACGUAGGCGGACUUUUAAGUCAGGGGUGAAAUCCCGGGGCUCAACCCCGGAACUGCCUUUGAUACUGGAAGUCUUGAGUAUGGUAGAGGUGAGUGGAAUUCCGAGUGUAGAGGUGAAAUUCGUAGAUAUUCGGAGGAACACCAGUGGCGAAGGCGGCUCACUGGACCAUUACUGACGCUGAGGUGCGAAAGCGUGGGGAGCAAACAGG